GAUGAACGCUGGCGGCGUGCCUAAUACAUGCAAGUCGAGCGAACAGAUGAGGAGCUUGCUCCUCUGACGUUAGCGGCGGACGGGUGAGUAACACGUGGAUAACCUACCUAUAAGACUGGGAUAACUUCGGGAAACCGGAGCUAAUACCGGAUAAUAUAUUGAACCGCAUGGUUCAAUAGUGAAAGACGGCUUUGCUGUCACUUAUAGAUGGAUCCGCGCCGCAUUAGCUAGUUGGUAAGGUAACGGCUUACCAAGGCAACGAUGCGUAGCCGACCUGAGAGGGUGAUCAGCCACACUGGAACUGAGACACGGUCCAGACUCCUACGGGAGGCAGCAGUAGGGAAUCUUCCGCAAUGGGCGAAAGCCUGACGGAGCAACGCCGCGUGAGUGAUGAAGGUCUUCGGAUCGUAAAGCUCUGUUAUUAGGGAAGAACAAAUGUGUAAGUAACUAUGCACGUCUUGACGGUACCUAAUCAGAAAGCCACGGCUAACUACGUG
rnacentral:rRNA from 1 species